rnacentral:misc_RNA from 1 species
GAUGAAGAACGUAGCGAAAUGCGAUACUUGGUGUGAAUUGCAGAAUCCCGUGAACCAUCGAGUCUUUGAACGCAAGUUGCGCCCGAAGCCAUCAGGUUGAGGGCACGUCUGCCUGGGCGUCACAUAUCGUUGCCCAAUGCCUAUUGCAGUGCAAUAGGAAUUUCUAGGGCGAAUGAUGGCUUCCCGUGAGCGUUGUUGCCUCGCGGUUGGUUGAAAAUCGAGUCCUUGGUAGGGUGUGCCAUGGUAGAUGGUGGUCGAGUUAGAACGAUACCGAUCAUGUGCAUGCUCCCCAAAAUAUGGCCUCUAUGACCCACACGCGUCUUUUGACGCUCAUGACGAGACCUCAGGUCAGGCGGGGCUACCCGCUGAAUUUAAGCAUAUCAUAGCGAGGA